UACGGAAGGCAGCAGUGGGGAAUAUUGCACAAUGGGCGCAAGCCUGAUGCAGCCAUGCCGCGUGUAUGAAGAAGGCCUUCGGGUUGUAAAGUACUUUCAGCGGGGAGGAAGGCGAUGCGGUUAAUAACCGCGUCGAUUGACGUUACCCGCAGAAGAAGCACCGGCUAACUCCGUGCCAGCAGCCGCGGUAAUACGGAGGGUGCAAGCGUUAAUCGGAAUUACUGGGCGUAAAGCGCACGCAGGCGGUCUGUUAAGUCAGAUGUGAAAUCCCCGGGCUUAACCUGGGAACUGCAUUUUGAAACUGGCAGGCUUGAGUCUUGUAGAGGGGGUAGAAUUCCAGGUGUAGCGGUGAAAUGCGUAGAGAUCUGGAGGAAUACCGGUGGCGAAGGCGGCCCCUGGGACAAAGACUGACGCUCAGGUGCGAAAGCGUGGGGAGCAAAACGAGGAUUAGGAUACCCCU
rnacentral:rRNA from 1 species